GCCGAAGUAGCUCAGUGGUAGAGCAAUCCACUUGUAAUGGAUAGGUCGUGAGUUCAAUCCUCACCUUCGGCUCCA
rnacentral:tRNA from 1 species